UAAUAAGUGUUUUAUGGCACUUUUUAAAUCCAUAUCCACCUUGUGUGCAAUGUCAGUCGAUCUUCUUCAUGGAGAUCGACCAAACAUCAACCUUUAUCUUUUAACUCUUUGUCUGAAAAUAUUAUGAAUAAACAAUUCAAAAAUA
rnacentral:misc_RNA from 1 species